ACUCUGCUUCGGGGUAGGUCUCUGCGUCUUGAGACCCAGCUCCAGCUGUUCCACACACCAGGCCAGCUCCCGCGCCAGCUGUUCCGCCUGGGACAGAAAGGAGGACAUGGUUGUGAUGGGUAACAGGGUCCCGCAGACCCCACUCCCAUACCUUCAGCGCCUUAAUUCCGCACAGCUCGCCCACAGAGGCAGGCGGAUUAGCGCCCAGAAAGCUCGCAGGGAGUACCAUCCUUGCCUGGGCCUCAGCGCUAGGAGGAGCUUCGUCCGGGGCAGGUUUCUCCGAGGGCUUUUCGCUUCCAUUUGUCCCAGAGACCCUGUUGGGGGUUUUCUUUUUCUUUUGCUUCAUCGCUACUGUGUUGCCUACGGGAUGGGUUCCGGCGGCGGAGUCGCAUGCAGGUUGCACUGAACUGCGGAGAGGAGGUUCCGAGGCACCGGAAGCUGAGCGAGAGGGCCGGGGUCUGCGCGGAGCGCGAUGAGUUUUCCGACUUGAGGCUGCUGGUGCCUCCCGAGCAGGACGCCCUGGCUCCUGAAAAAUCGUGAGACAGGACGAAAUUCACAGGGUCUCCCCACCUAGGGCCUCGCCACAAACACGCCUUCUCCCACAGCUCACCGCCAUUAGUCGGAGCGGCCGCCGGAAGCUGGUAAAUCCUAACUACCACAGCGAACUCACUCCUCUGGAAACACGUCUACGACACAAGGUUCCGCAGAAAGCGCAGCGGAGCCAGAGCAAGCGCUCAGCGCCGGACAGAAAGCACUUGGGUGGAUGGAGCGCCUCAGGCUGUGCUUGUAAUUUUAGGAGACAGAGUGCACGGGGAUGAACUUAAAGGCCUCGGAGAACCCAGCAGAGUGUGCCGCCAAGAAACAAGACAAUUGAUUCCUGGAGAGAAUGGAACCGGUGGGGUCGGGGGGAACGCCCAGAGAUGGGGCAAGGUGGAUUAUGCGGGGCGGGGCGGGGCGGGGCGGGGCGGGGCGGGGCGCAGGCGUUGACAGAUGGCUCAGCUUGUCCCCGGUAUACUUCAGAAUCCUGAAGAACUAGGCUCUAAUGGCAAUGGAGUGAACUUUCCAACGAGAGUCGGGGCAAGCAUGCACUUCCUUCUUCCACGACCAUUAGGCUGCCACCCGAAGACCUGGCCCAGAUUUAAGGUGCAUCUUCCCACCUCAAACGAAAAAUCAAGAAAAUUUCCUUACAGGAACUCCUUACCCCUUGAGGUUUAGGAUAAUUACAGGUGUGGGUUGUCAAAAUGACAACCAAGAAUAGCAAUAGCUAUCAUAGCGGUCUAGCCCUAGGACUACAGAUACCAGUCAUGGAGCUACAGGAUUUGGUAUUUUUCCUACAGGCUUCUAAUCCUGCUUUGUUUCAGUAUUUCUUCGCUAUGCCUCUAUUCCACACUUUUGGAAUGGCGACAUAUAUACUGUGUCCUAAUAAUCACAGGACAUGGUAGUACUAAGAGACGCCCUAAGGGAUCUCCUACACUCCAGACAUAAUCUUGCUUACCACCAUUGUGAAGAGGUAAUCCAAUUUCCCCAUGGUAAUCUGGAUCUAUCACCCCUCCUAACACUGUUAUUCCUUUUUUAGCCUGUUGGUUUAAGGGCAUUAGAAGCCCAAAAUGACCAGGGGGAAGUCUGAGCUUCCAGUUCAAUGGAAUGUUUGUUGUAGCUCCUGGUAGGAGCACUCCCUUCUCUGGAGCCAAAACUUCUAGGCCAGCAGAACCUAGAGUUAUGGGGACAGGAAGCAAAAAUUUUCCUAGAGGGUCACUAGGAGUGAUAGUAAGUGCUCUGCUCAACUCCUUCAUGCCUUCAAAACCAGUACCACCUGGGUGACCCUUACACAUUACCAAGUCCAGCCACAGCACAAUGUACAACUUUGGCUAUAUCUGGAACACAGCCACUGUGCUCUCAGAAAACACUUCCCAGAAGAUGUCACCUCAAUGAUGCUGGUCUCUUCUUAAUCACCGCUAAUUUCUUAGCUCCAGCUAACCAGCAUCAAUAGUCCCAGUAAUGCAAAGUUUUUGCUUUAGUAGUUCUGGUAUCUUGUUAAUCACAGCUGAUUCUUCAGCCCCAGCUAACCAGAACUACAGAAUCUUCACAAUCAAAACAGCAAUGGCCCUGAAAAGAGUCUUUAAUUUUCCCUCUGAAAUUUCACAAACCAGACCUCCAUCUUCUGCAGUGUUCUCAACGUUGUCUUCCAAGCUCCUACACAACAUCCGACAGAGCUCUUAACAACGGAUAACUUUAAAAGUCCCACAGUCUUUACAUAUUCUUAAAAUUUCAAUUUCUUUAAAAUAGCCAUCUCUUUUAAAAUCCAAAGUCUUUUUACAAUUAAAAGUCUCUUAACUGUGGGCUCCACUAAAACAGUUUCUUCCUUCGAGAGGGAAAAUAUCAGGGCACAGCCACAAUCAAAAGCAAAAGUCAAUCUCCAACCGUCCAAUGUCUGGGAUCCAACUUACAAUCUUCUGGGCUCCUCCAAGGGCUUGGGUCACUUCUCCAGCCAUGCCCUUUGUAGCACACGCGUCAUCCUCUAGGCUCCAGAUGCCUGUACUCCACUGCUGCUGCUGCUCUUGGUGGUCAUCUCAUGGUACUGGCAUCUCCAAAACAGCAACAGAAAAGUUACUAACACAGGGACACUUUCACAAGAGUAAGUCCAUGUCAAAAUAUGCAAAAUCACACACCUGAAAUACCUAUAACAAGCUGCAUGCCAGUUAGACCCCUGUUGUAUUAAGGGGUGUCUCUGUAUUUCCAGUUAUUAACUCUGUACUGGCAGAGAGCUAAGUGCUGGCAGGAUUUUGGAAUUGUCAUUUCUAUGGCACAUCCCCAGGUUUCCUAUUUUGUAAAUGUCUUCCAAACCUUCCCAAAAGAUGAAGGUCAAGCUUGGAGGAAUGCCUUAGGCGACCUAAGAGCCUGUCUAGCAUGAUCUUACUACUGAGUGGUUAUAAUAAAGAUCUGGCAGCCAAUAGUUGGGGCAGGAAGUAUGGGGGCGGAACUUCUGGGCGGGCAGAGUCAGGGGAUGCAAACAGAGGCAGGAGUAUCUAAGCAGACACAGAAGGAGCAGGGAAUGAAAGGGCUAUCUAGGAGGCAGGGCCAGGCUGGAAGUCAGGUUAAGUUAGAAGCUAGCAGAGUCUGCCCUAGAUAAAGGCCAAAUGCUUAAAACUGUAUAGAAGUCUAGUGUCUUGUUUAAACCAUAAGCAGGUCCUUGAGAGCCCCACAAUAGACCCCAAUAAAGCCUUUUUUCUG
rnacentral:lncRNA from 1 species